CCAAGAGGGGCCAAGGAAUUUUCACUGUGCUUUAUUUUAUAUAUGGUUAUGUCUUAAUGUUCCCCACACUAAAGCGUGCAAGUUUACUUACAAAGAAUGUAUAACUGCACCAAAACCUAAAACAUGCAGGGAUAGAGUAGAGUGCUCGAAAAUGGGGGAGGGUACAGUAUAUGAAUGACCUGUAACCUUGGGGGGUUCGGGGGCAUGCUCCCCCGAGAAAAUUUUAAAAUUUGAACCUCGGAAAUGCUAUUUCCUGCGUUUUCAGCCAUGGAUAAUUAUCUUAAGCCCAGAUUUUCUCAGGGGGGGGGGAACAAUUUUGCCAGGGAACACCACUGGCUAUCGUAUGUCAGAGGCUCCAAAGGCGGUAGAAUCCCUGUGAUGUUAUCCACUGUUCACCCCGUGUUCUUUUAAGCAAAUGUGCCUGCUCAAAAAUGCAAAAUCUUGCAAGCCUGUGGACACAAUACUGAAGUGAAGAGCAUCAGUAGAGUUACAUGUAGAAAAUUUUUUUUUGAGCGCUCUCUUUUGCAUGAUAUUUUUUUUUCUCGAUUGUGUGCUGCAUGAUUUUUUUUUUCUUUCUCCUUGGGUUGCAGGAAAUUUUUUUUCGAAAUCUUCCACCCCCCCCUCAAAAGUCAAAUGGUCCGCCCCUUACAUAUUACAUAUAAGCCAACAUCUUGUUCACAUUUUUUUUCUUACAUUCGCACAGCGCGUAAUUUCGAGCUAAUCCCCAACUAAAGAACAUUUAUAAUACAAGCAAAAUUACAUCUGCCAGGUAAACUGCAAGCGGUCCCUCCUUUCCGCAAGUUUAGAUUCCCGAGCGUGCGAGAGAAAAGGAGGGACCGCGCCCUUUGCAUAACCAUGGGUUAGUGGACUAUUUAAUUAUUUUUUAUUAUGCCGAAUAUUGGGGGGGGGGGGGUUGAAAAUUUUUUUGGAGGUGUGGACAUUCUGUAUGGGGGGUACCCCCCCCACACAAAAUCCGUCUAUGCCCCGAAUACGUCUACACAUACGACUUUUUAUGGGCAAAUCCGCUUAUAUGCGGGAUGCCAGAAGCGCCAGGACAGUUAGGGUGCCGGAAUCAUUCCCACUUAAAGACAAAGAAGACCACCUCUUCAUUGCACUAAGUCACUGCGGCAAAAACAUUACCAUAACUUACAACACAUUCCGCUUACAGUUGUAAUAUAAGGACAUGCUAGAUCACGCGAUAUUCCCUCCGUCUAGAAGACAAACACACUGGGAACAGAACUGAACAGAGCUAAUUGUAAAUAGAUGUAUUGGGCAACACAUUUGGUGCUUGUUUGUCUGGUAGUAACGCAAGUUCGAUGUGGCAAUGAUCUAUAUGGCUUUGUCAGGCGGGAAAUAGUAACACCAUGCAUCUCAAAUCCAAUCAACGACAUCUGUCCCUUAGGUCACAAAGUCCCCAAACGAGUAUACAACAUUUACCCUGGAAUAAGUGCGAGUGUACGUAGAAUUUCAGAUAUACCAAAUACUUCAGGAAUACAAUUUCA